AGUGAACGCUGGCGGUAGGCCUAACACAUGCAAGUCGAACGGCAGCACAGGAGAGCUUGCUCUCUAGGUGGCGAGUGGCGGACGGGUGAGGAAUACAUCGGAAUCUGCCCAGUCGUGUGGGAUAACGUAGGGAAACUUACGCUAAUACCGCAUACGACCUUCGGGUGAAAGAGGGGGAUCGCAAGACCUCUCGCGAUUGGAUGAGCCGAUGUCGGAUUAGCUAGUUAGCGGGGUAAUGGCCCACCAAGGCGACGAUCCGUAGCUGGUCUGAGAGGAUGAUCAGCCACACUGGAACUGAGACACGGUCCAGACUCCUACGGGAGGCAGCAGUGGGGAAUAUUGGACAAUGGGCGCAAGCCUGAUCCAGCCAUACCGCGUGGGUGAAGAAGGCCUUCGGGUUGUAAAGCCCUUUUGUUGGGAAAGAAAUCUUUCAGGCUAAUACCCUGGGAGGAUGACGGUACCCAAAGAAUAAGCACCGGCUAACUUCGUG
rnacentral:rRNA from 1 species